UUUCAACUUCAAUGAGUCGCCACCUGUCCACCUUGAAUCCAUGCGACAAAUUUUUUGUACUAUGACUAUUAAAAUUCCAUUCCCUAUCGAUUGUAACCCCAAUCAGUUCUAUCGCACCCACAGAGCACUCUAGGGAGCCUUGGUCCGCGUGCUCCGGACUGCACGGAUGAAAAUCAAAAAUUUUUGUGGAACAUUGUUCAGGGUCACAAGCAGACUAAGAAUAUCCAAAAAUAUCAAAUUUGCGACGACAUGUUUAAUUAAACUCCAUUCAACCACACCGUGAUGUUGGAAGGAAGUUUUGUG